rnacentral:misc_RNA from 1 species
UGAGAGCGCGGUGCCCGUCG